CUGGGGAGGGAGGAGGCGCCCCUGGUCUGGUUGAGGGGGCACCAGGGGUUGGGCAGUGACACCCGAGGCUUGAAGAAAGGACUCUGCUCACGGUGCGCCUGCGGACCUGGGGCCACCGGCUUCCCCGUCCUGCGGGAGGCUCAAGGAGGACAGCAGGUACAUCUUCUUCAUGGAGCCGGAGACCGACAGCAGCAGCAGCAGCCGCGCGCCGGCCGCCUUCCGAGCCUCUUCCUGAACCUCAAGAAAGGGGUAGGCCGGGUGCUGUGCAAGCGGUGCGAGAUCAUGGAGGAGCACACCAAGGAGAACAGCUUCGCCUGGAGGGGGCGGCGCCGGGCGCGGGCGAGGGGCUGCCGCGCCUGGUGUCCCGCGGGGCGGCCUCGCUGGGCACCGUCACCCUGGGCGCCGCCGCCGCCCUGGGGCUGCCCGCUGGGCCGGCGGAUGGCGCCCGCCCCGGGCCCCGGCCCGCGGCCGCACCUGGUCAUCGCCGAGCAGCCCAAGCAGCGCGGCAUGCGCUUCCGCUAGGAGUGCGAGGGCUGCUCUGCCGGCAGCAUCCUGGGCGAGAGCAGCACGAGGCCAGCAAGACGCUGCCCGCCAUCGAGGUGUACACCGCAGCGCCCACGGCGUCUGGCUCCCGCUCCUGUGCCUGCCCGGUUGGCGUCCUCACUGCUGCUGGAUUGCUGCAGGCACUGCGGCCUAAGGCAGGCGGCACCGCAGAGGAGCUGGGGAACGGGCUUCCUCCCACGUGCGUUUGUGGCUGUGGACAGAGGGACCGGCGGCUCUGGUGCACCGAGGGCCGAUCACCUGGCCCUUCCAAGCCUGCGCGCCUCCCGUCAGUUUCUGCAGCUCAAGAGGGAAUCCUUUGGAAGAUCUAGGUCCCUGAAGAAUCACCAGGAGGUAGACAUGAACGUAGUGAAGAUCUGCUUCCAGGCCUUGUACCAGACCCAGCAGGGGCAGAUGCGCCACAUGGACCCUGUGCUCUCUGAGCCCGUCUACGACAAGAGUGAGUGGUAGCCGCUGUCCUGGGGCCCAUGUGCAGGGACGGACACACAGGCAGUGGCCGGUUCCUAGAAAUGCUUACUUAGUUCUUUAAGAAGCAGAAUGAGGGAGAGGGAGGGAGAAAGAAAGAGAGAUCUGUCUGCCGGUUCACUCUGCAAAUGGCUGCAAGAGCCAGGGCUGGGCCAGGUGGGUCUCCAGUGUGGGUGACAGGGGCCCCAUACAGGUCUCCUAUGUGGGUGCGGGGACCCCAUCUAGGUCUCCAUCCAGGUCUCCCAUGUGGGUAGAAGGGGCUCCAUCCCGGUCUCCCGUCUGGGUGUAGGGCCUGUAUCUGGGUCUCCCGUGUGGGUGGCAGGGGCCCCAUCCGGGUCUCCCUUAUGAGUGCAGGGGCCCGGGCACUGGGGCAUCAUCCACUCCUUCCCAGGCCCUUGGCAAGGAGCAGGAUCAGAAGUGGAGCAGCAGGGACUUGAACCUGUGAGGACUUCCCGAGCAGAGGCUCCGCCCUCUGCGACAAAACCCUACCCUAGCUUCUUCUGUGGAGACAGUAACGUGUUUCUCAGAACCCGCGGCAGGCUCGGCCUUGUCCCACUCGUGGGAACUUGUCUCAUGGUGACUCCUAGCUACAGGGAGUCUGGGAAAGUGAGUCCAGGGAGGGGCCCGGGUGUGGACAAGGGCACCGGCUCACCAGGGAGCGCCACAGGCAAACAAGAGCAGGGGUGCAUUCAGGGAUUUCAAAGUGCAGCUGAGAGAGUAGCAGCCCAGGUGGGCAUAGGGGGCAGGGGGGCUCUCUUCAAGGUGAGCUUAGGGGGCAGGGGGCUCUGUCCCAGGUGGGCUUAGGGGGGCAGGGGACUGU
ensembl:lncRNA